rnacentral:rRNA from 1 species
AUUAGCCUACGGGAGGCAGCAGUGGGGAAUAUUGCACAAUGGGGGAAACCCUGAUGCAGCGACGCCGCGUGAGUGAAGAAGUAUCUCGGUACGUAAAGCUCUAUCAGCAGGGCAGAAAAAAAGUCUUUGGCUUUGGACGGUACCUGACUAAGAAGCCCCGGCUAACUACGUGCCAGCAGCCGCGGUAAUACGUAGGGGGCAAGCGUUGUCCGGAUUUACUGGGUGUAAAGGGAGCGUAGACGGCAGCGCAAGUCUGGAGUGAAAUGUCGGGGCUCAACUCCGGACCUGCUUUGGAAACUGUGCAG